GAGACGUUAGUAAAACAAAUUACAUCACCUUGUCAAGAUGAAAUCAUGGGUUAAACUCCCAUACAUCUCU
rnacentral:tRNA from 1 species